UACGUAGGGUGCGAGCGUUGUCCGGAAUUACUGGGCGUAAAGCGCACGUAGGCGGCUUUGUAAGUUAGAGGUGAAAGCCCGGGGCUCAACUCCGGAAUUGCCUUUAAGACUGCAUCGCUAGAAUUGUGGAGAGGUAAGUGGAAUUCCGAGUGUAGAGGUGAAAUUCGUAGAUAUUCGGAAGAACACCAGUGGCGAAGGCGACCUACUGGACACAUAUUGACGCUGAGGUGCGAAAGCGUGGGGAGCAAACAGG
rnacentral:rRNA from 1 species